UACGAAGGGGGCUAGCGUUGUUCGGAAUCACUGGGCGUAAAGGGCGCGUAGGCGGGAUGGCAAGUCGGUCGUGAAAUCCCUUCGGCUCAACCGAAGAACGUCGGCCGAUACUGCCGUUCUUGAGGGAUGCAGAGGAGAUUGGAAUUCCCGGUGUAGCGGUGAAAUGUGUAGAGAUCGGGAGGAAGCACCGGGUGGCGAAGGCGGGUCCGUCUGGGCGAUCGCCUGACGCUGAGGCGCGAAAGGCGUGGGGGAGCAAAAGCGGG
rnacentral:rRNA from 1 species